UACCAGAUGGGGUUGGGAGUUUAUAAGUUUCGCUCGUAUCGGACGGGGUAUUGAGAUAGUUUUUAGUUAUGGUGCCCAUUAUCACACAGGGUCUGGGGACAGCUGAUUGAUUUACAAGGAAAGUGUAUGUAUCCACACAUAGUUAGGAUCCCUAUGGGCCCCUAGUGAUUCCGAUGGGGAAAAAUAAAAUUGUAAAGUAGAGAUGGGUAUGAUAAGUAACCCGACUUUAGGAAAAAUAAUGAAGAACCCAACGUUUCAUGUCUAUUGGAAUGUAUGUUAUUUAUGAUUAAAUCAUCAUUCUGAUCUUAUCUUCAUGUAUGGCGUUUGAGAGACUACUAGUUAAGGAAGAAAAUCAUAACGUUUUUAGUAAAACAUAUAAGGAAUUCAUUAGCAUUCGGGUUUUAUUAAAAGCACACUCCAUUGGUUGUUUUAUGUUUUCUAUAAUCCUUUUAUUUCCAUAUCAAUGGUAAAGUGUUGAUAUUCUUACUAAGUUAGUGUAGCUCAUCCCUUUCUUAUUAACCAUUUCAGAUCAAGACGAUCAAAACCAGGAUCCCGAACAGCG
rnacentral:lncRNA from 1 species